UCNUACGGGAGGCAGCAGUGGGGAAUAUUGGACAAUGGGCGGAAGCCUGAUCCAGCAACGCCGCGUGAGGGAUGACGGCCUUCGGGUUGUAAACCUCUUUCAGCACCGACGAAGCGCAAGUGACGGUAGGUGCAGAAGAAGGACCGGCCAACUACGUGCCAGCAGCCGCGGUAAUACGUAGGGUCCGAGCGUUGUCCGGAAUUAUUGGGCGUAAAGGGCUCGUAGGCGGUUUGUCGCGUCGGGAGUGAAAACGCCGGGCUUAACUCGGUGCUUGCUUUCGAUACGGGCAGACUGGAGGUAUGCAGGGGAGAACGGAAUUCCUGGUGUAGCGGUGAAAUGCGCAGAUAUCAGGAGGAACACCGGUGGCGAAGGCGGUUCUCUGGGCAUUACCUGACGCUGAGGAGCGAAAGUGUGGGGAGCGAACAGGAUUAGAUACCCUGGUAGUCCACACCGUAAACGUUGGGCGCUAGGUGUGGGAUCCAUUCCACGGGUUCCGUGCCGUAGCUAACGCAUUAAGCGCCCCGCCUGGGGAGUACGGCCGCAAGGCUAAAACUCAAAGGAAUUGACGGGGGCCCGCACAAGCGGCGGAGCAUGCGGAUUAAUUCGAUGCAACGCGAAGAACCUUAC
rnacentral:rRNA from 1 species